rnacentral:rRNA from 1 species
AGCGAACGCUGGCGGCAGGCCUAACACAUGCAAGUCGUACGAACCUUUCGGGGUUAGUGGCGGACGGGUGAGUAACACGUGGGAACGUGCCUUUAGGUUCGGAAUAACUCAGGGAAACUUGUGCUAAUACCGAAUGUGCCCUUCGGGGGAAAGAUUAAUCGCCUUUAGAGCGGCCCGCGUCUGAUUAGCUAGUUGGUUGAGGUAAUGGCUCACCAAGGCGACGAUCAGUAGCUGGUCUGAGAGGAUGAUCAGCCACAUUGGGACUGAGACACGGCCCAAACUCCUACGGGAGGCAGCAGUGGGGAAUCUUGCGCAAGGGGCGAAAGCCUGACGCAGCCAUGCCGCGUGAAUGAUGAAGGUCUUAGGAUUGUAAAAUUCUUUCACCGGGGACGAUAAUGACGGUACCCGGAGAAGAAGCCCCGGCUAACUUCGUG